rnacentral:rRNA from 1 species
UGGGGGAUAUUGCACAAUGGGCGAAAGCCUGAUGCAGCGACGCCGCGUGGGGGAUGAAGGCUUUCGGGUUGUAAACCUCUUUCGCUAUCGAACAAGGCCCGCUUAGGGUGGGUUGAGGGUAGGUGGAGAAGAAGCGCCGGCUAACUACGUGCCAGCAGCCGCGGUAAUACGUAGGGCGCGAGCGUUGUCCGGAAUUAUUGGGCGUAAAGGGCUUGUAGGCGGCUUGUUGCGCCUGCUGUGAAAACGCGGGGCUUAACUUCGCGCGUGCAGUGGGUACGGGCAGGGUUGAGUGUGGUAGGGGUGACUGGAAUUCCAGGUGGAGCGGUGGAAUGCGCAGAUAUCUGGAGGAACACCGAUGGCGAAGGCAGGUCACUGGGCCAUUACUGACGCUGAGGAGCGAAAGCAUGGGUAGCGAACAGG